rnacentral:misc_RNA from 1 species
GAUGAAGAACGUAGCGAAAUGCGAUAAGUAAUGUGAAUUGCAGAAUUCAGUGAAUCAUCGAAUCUUUGAACGCACAUUGCGCCCGCCAGUAUUCUGGCGGGCAUGCCUGUCCGAGCGUCAUUUCAACCCUCGAACCCCUCCGGGGGGUCGGCGUUGGGGACCUCGGGAGCCCCUAAGACGGGAUCCCGGCCCCGAAAUACAGUGGCGGUCUCGCCGCAGCCUCUCCUGCGCAGUAGUUUGCACAACUCGCACCGGGAGCGCGGCGCGUCCACGUCCGUAAAACACCCAACUUCUGAAAUGUUGUCCUCGGAUCAGGUAGGAAUACCCGCUGAACUUAAGCAUAUCAAUAAGCGGAGGA